rnacentral:rRNA from 1 species
AGCUCCAAUAGCGUAUAUUAAAGUUGUUGCAGUUAAAAAGCUCGUAGUUGGAUUUCUGGCAGGGGUUGAGAGCCCGCACGCAGCGUGUGCUUUAUAACCCCUACCAUCCUUCUGUUAAACUGUCGGGUCUUCACCGACCCGGCAGCGGCUCAGAUAAUUUACCUUGAGAAAAUUAGAGUGUUUCAGGCAGGCCGACGCCGGGAUACAUUAGCAUGGAAUAAUAGAAUAGGACUGUCGCCUCUUCUGUUGGUCUGAGGGGUGGCCGUAAUGAUUAAUAGGGAUAGUUGGGGGCAUUAGUACUUAACUGUCAGAGGUGAAAUUCUCGGAUUUGUUAAAGACUAACUUAUGCGAAAGCAUUUGCCAAGGAUGUUUUCAUUA